UUUUAUAUAUUUUAAUGGUUUUACUUCUUAUGCAUAUACAAGUAAUGCAAAUGAUAAAUGUAAUGUACUAAAAGAAUAUUCAUAAUAUCUGCGCAAACAAUCAGAAAAGUGCAGUAUAGCAACUAUUGGGAUGGGGAAUUUUACAUCAAAUCUGCAGGAGGUAUUGUGAUGAAAGGAUGAGUAGCAGUACAUUUUUACAUUGAAAAAUUUGCAACUGGUCUGUAAAAGUACAUGCAUAUGGAUUUUCUAUCUUUUAGAAGUUUAAUGCAGUUAAAUGUAAUUUCUGUAUCAGUUG
rnacentral:lncRNA from 1 species